AGAGUUUGAUCCUGGCUCAGAUUGAACGCUGGCGGCAGGCCUAACACAUGCAAGUCGAGCGGUAGAGAGAAGCUUGCUUCUCUUGAGAGCGGCGGACGGGUGAGUAAUGCCUAGGAAUCUGCCUGGUAGUGGGGGAUAACGUUCGGAAACGGACGCUAAUACCGCAUACGUCCUACGGGAGAAAGCAGGGGACCUUCGGGCCUUGCGCUAUCAGAUGAGCCUAGGUCGGAUUAGCUAGUUGGUGAGGUAAUGGCUCACCAAGGCUACGAUCCGUAACUGGUCUGAGAGGAUGAUCAGUCACACUGGAACUGAGACACGGUCCAGACUCCUACGGGAGGCAGCAGUGGGGAAUAUUGGACAAUGGGCGAAAGCCUGAUCCAGCCAUGCCGCGUGUGUGAAGAAGGUCUUCGGAUUGUAAAGCACUUUAAGUUGGGAGGAAGGGCAGUAAAUUAAUACUUUGCUGUUUG
rnacentral:rRNA from 1 species